AGCUUUGAGCAUAACCCUAGGCUAGAAGGCCCCGAGUUGCUGGGACUUGCAAGUUACGACACAACUUGUUCGUAAAAAAGGACGAUCAAACCCUAGUGAUGAAAUCGUCAAGACCGGAGUGGAACAAGCUAGCCUACAUCUAAAACCUUCAUUAUCUAAGUGGACCAGGGAGUGUUAAAUGCAGUCCCCCUCAUAUUUGUACAUCUUUUUAUCUCUGCUGCUUAAUGCCCUUUUAACCGUAGUAACUGCAUUGCUAUGCUCCCCCUAUAUAUAUGAGAUUCGUGUCGAGUUUGUGUGUGUGGUUACAUUUGAUGUAAUGUAAUAUCUGGUGCAAAUUUAUCAUACCUGUUGCUAUUAGUUUCCUGCUAUGUCACACUUGUUUGAAACGUAUAAUGUUCAUCAAACCUGCAGUUAUAUGGACCUUCGUUAUUAGUGGAAAUUUUGCCGGGGAGAUGCACAAAUGUACAGUGAUUGACCUGUAUAAGCUUAAAAAUACUUGACAGUAUAUGAAAAUUAUAUUAUUUUUGUACAUUACAUAUUAUACAGUGCCCUGAUCCAAAAAUACAAAUUAGUAUGUGGGCAUGCUCUAUACUCGGUUUCAUCAAAACCUGCAAAUGACAAAUCUGAAUCACAGGUAGCAGAUCUCUGAGCAUCUUUAAUUAAUGCUUGAUUCUUCCAAUCUUUCACUUUUGUGACUUUAGUAAGUAGUGAUGCAUACCAGAAAAAUAACAAGGUAGGAAGAAAAUGGUUCGAUGUUUUGGAUUAGUGAAUCGGCCAUGAUAAUUAAAUGAUAUGUUUAAGCUUGGUUUGGCAGGUAGAAUGCUAGAUGCACUUAUAUUACCGUAAUAAAAUGAAAUUAUUUAGUCAUCAACUAAUUUUUUUGCCUGACCAGAAAAAUGUUUGAAAUUUCAUCUAACGUUUCAUUUACCAAAUCAAUCCUAUUUUAAUUUAUAAAAUCUAAAGCUCAAUUCUUUUCUUCACAAAAAAUCACACCAAUUUCUAUAACAAAUUCACCAAGCCGAGAUUCGAGCUACUGUUCCUACAACCACUUAGAUAAAUCUCAUCUCUAGAAGGUAGGAAUUAAUUGAUGAAGAAAGAAUAAAGAGUGACCAAAAAAUUGUAAACUUAUUAACUAUUUUCAUACUUAACAAAGCAAUUCUCAAUUAUACAUAAUAUUUAUCGACUUUUUAAUCUCAAAAUAACCAAAUUAUUUCCGUUAGACCGGGAUCUUUUAAUAAAUAACAACCAUCCAUGGAAAAGAAGAUAUAAAAGAGCCGGCUCAAUAAGAAAAGCUUCAGCGUAUUUAUGCGCAUCCCGCGCCAGGAUCGUACUUCUUUCCCAAAAAAAAUAUCAAUGUAAUUAUCACGACUUUGUGGUCAACGUUCACAGGGGAUUAGUUGAAUUUGGACUAACACUUUACUUUUAUUUAUCAAAAAAACUUUACCUUUACUUUUUAACCAGCUAAAGGCGUCCGCAUAUUUCCUUGGACACGUUUUGGAGAAGAAACACAAUUCUAUAUAUUUCCAAAGCCACAGUUCGAAAACGUGAUAAAUUUUUCCAAACGCUACCACGAGAUAAAUUUUAUAAUUGUUGGCCGUCAAUUCAAAUAAAAUUGAUGAUGCUAUUACACAUUUUAGCCUCCUUGUUAUGCCAAAUUAACCAACAAUUUCUCCCACAAAUUUGAUCGAGCUAAGUCCCUCCAUUCUAUAUUUUUUAACAAACAAACUC
rnacentral:lncRNA from 1 species